CCUACGGGUGGCUGCAGUGGGGAAUAUUGGGCAAUGGGCGCAAGCCUGACCCAGCAACGCCGCGUGAAGGAAGAAGGCUUUCGGGUUGUAAACUUCUUUUAAGAGGGAAGAGCAGAAGACGGUACCUCUUGAAUAAGCCACGGCUAACUACGUGCCAGCAGCCGCGGUAAUACGUAGGUGGCAAGCGUUGUCCGGAUUUACUGGGUGUAAAGGGCGUGCAGCCGGGAAGACAAGUCAGAUGUGAAAUCCCGCGGCUCAACCGCGGAACUGCAUUUGAAACUGUUUUUCUUGAGUAUCGGAGAGGCAGGCGGAAUUCCUAGGGUAGCGGUGAAAUGCGUAGAUAUUAGGAGGAACACCAGUGGCGAAGGCGGCCUGCUGGACGACAACUGACGGUGAGGCGCGAAAGCGUGGGGAGCAAACAGGAUUAGAUACCCGGGUAGUC
rnacentral:rRNA from 1 species